AGCGAACGCUGGCGGCAGGCUUAACACAUGCAAGUCGAACGGGCAUCUUCGGAUGUCAGCGGAAGACGGGUGAGUAACACAUGGGAACGUCCCCUUCGGUUCGGAACAACUCUGGGAAACUGGGACUAAUACCGGAUACGCCCUUAUGGGGAACGGUUUAAUGCCGAAGGAUCGGCCCGCGUCUGCUUAGCUAGCUGGUGGGGUCACGGCCUACCCAGGCGACGAUCAGUAGCUGGGCGGAGAGGAUGAUCAGCCACACUGGGACGGAGACACGGCCAAGACUCUUACGGGAGGGGGCAAUGGGGAAUAUUGGACAAUGGGCGCGAGCCAUGUCCAGCCUUGCCGUGUAAGUGAUUAAGGCAUUAGGGUUGUAGAGCCCUUUUGACCGGGACGAUAAUGACGGUACCGGAAGAAUAAGCCCCGGCUAACUUCGUG
rnacentral:rRNA from 1 species